GGUGGGCUGUAGGGACUCGUUGCCCCCCCAGGUGCUGCGGUGCGGGUGGUGGAUGUGGGGCGGCUGGCCGGCGGGGGGCGGCACCCCAAGCCGUGGGGCGUGGGCCGUGGGGGUCCCAGAGGUGGGCUGUAGGGACUCGUUGCCCCCCCAGGUGCUGCGGUGCGGGUGGUGGAUGUGGGGCGGCUGGCCGGCGGGGUGCUGCACACCAAGCUGUGGGUCGUGGACGGCGCCCACCUCUACAUCGGCAGUGCCAACAUGGACUGGCGCUCCCUCACCCAGGUGAAGGAGCUGGGUGUCGCCAUCUACAACUGCAGCUGCGCGGCGCAGGACGUGGCCAAAGUGUUCGAGGCCUACUGGGCCCUGGGCGCCCCCAACGCCUCCAUCCCCAGCCCCUGGCCCUCCAACUUCUCCACCCCCUUCAACAUGGAGACCCCAAUGCAGCUGCGGCUCAACGGGGUCCCGUCCGCCCUCUACUUCUCGGUUCUGGCCGGAGAUCGACGACCGGCUGCGCCGGGCCGUGUUUGAGCGCAGGGUGGAGGUGAAGCUGCUGGUCGGCUGCUGGGCGCACUCCAAGGCCGCCAUGUUCCCCUUCCUCAAGUCCUUGGCGGCCAUGGCGGACAACAGGACGGGAUACAGAGCCCAGGUGGUGAGUGCUGCCAAAUAGUGAGCGUGGGCACUGCCAAAUGGUGAGCAUGGGCAGUGCCAAAUAGUGAGUACAGGGAGCGCCAAAUGGGGGUCAUGGGUGCUGCCAAAUGGCGAGCAUUGAGAGUGCCAAAUAGUGAGCACAGGGAGCGCCAAAUGGGGGUCAUGGGUGCUGCCAAAUA
rnacentral:lncRNA from 1 species